rnacentral:lncRNA from 1 species
CCUGUGGGCAUUAUCUGUUAAGUAAGCUAUGUGCAUGGCCCUGGUCUGAUUCAGAGUUGAAGCACUUCUGCAUCCCAGUACUAAGCAUAAACCAUCCCUCCCCAUCCCCAAGGCUGGGCUAGGAGAAUGUGAAAUAUAGGAGGUCCUCACCACCUUACCCCACUCCCAAGCCCUCUUCCCUUCCCACCUGUCACCUGCUUUCCUCGCAAGAUGAUGACUUGCAAAGCCCAAAAUAUUUAUUUUCUGGCUUCUUACAGAAAAAAAAGUUUGCUAAUUCCUAUCAUAGAAGCCUCACAGAUGAUGUACUUCGUUGGUAAAUAAAAAUU